CGUGCCCUGAAUCAAGGCUGACAACUUGCUGUAGCUGUUGGUUUCAAGCAGUGGCCAAAAUUAACUCUUGAAAUGGUCUGAUGACUUUCCCAAAAUUCCAAAAUGGGAAAAAAUCUAUUCAGUUGAAAGAGACAUUU